AUUCAACGUCCGAACGCCGGGUAUAAUAUCGCGGCGAUGCAAGCGCGUACGAGCUCCCCGUGUCCCCUCCCUCGCCUACCCACUCAAGGAUUUCGAGACGGAAUCAACUUUAUUCUUUCGUGCAUCAAACCCCGUCGUUAAAUUCGAAAUGGAGCGGCUGAGGACAUGCUUAGCGUAUAUCUCGGGAAGGGGAGGUCAAGCGCAAACGACGACGACGACGGAUAUAAAGCACAAACAAGCUCAAACGGAUGAAGUUAAUUUUCUGUUUCGAAAUUAUAAAGCGGGGGGGGGGACACGGAGCUGCGCGUAUGCGCGGAUUAAGGGGGACAGGGUUUGAAAAUGUCGCGGUGGGCUCACUAUUCCGUAAACUCAAGACGCACGUUUUUUUUCAAUGCUCGACGUUUACCCGAAAUCGAGUUGAACGUUCCGGGUUUCUUACACAACUGAGGUGUGUGUCGAUACUGUACGAUUGGAUUC